UGGGAUACCUCGGGGGGCCGAAAGGCUGAGAUGUACGCAAGUGCGGACCCGUUGAACCUGAACCGGUUAACACCGGCGGAGGGAAGGUAUGGACAUCCAUC
rnacentral:ncRNA from 2 species